rnacentral:rRNA from 1 species
UACGUAGGGUGCGAGCGUUAAUCGGAAUUACUGGGAGUAAAGCGUGCGCAGGCGGUUCGACAAGUCUGAUGUGAAAGCCCCGGGCUCAACCUGGGAAUGGCAUUGGAAACUGGCGAGCUAGAGUGUGGCAGAGGGGGGUGGAAUUCCGCGUGUAGCAGUGAAAUGCGUAGAGAUGCGGAGGAACACCGAUGGCGAAGGCAGCCCCCUGGGCUGACACUGACGCUCAGGCACGAAAGCGUGGGGAGCAAACAGG